rnacentral:rRNA from 1 species
AUUGAACGCUGGCGGCGUGCUUAACACAUGCAAGUCGAUCGGUAACGCGGGGGCAACCCUGGCGACGAGAGGCGGACGGGUGAGGAACGCUUAGGAAUCUGCCUAUUAGUGGGGGACAACAUCUCGAAAGGGAUGCUAAUACCGCAUACGUCCUACGGGAGAAAGCAGGGGAUCACUUGUGACCUUGCGCUAAUAGAUGAGCCUAAGUCGGAUUAGCUAGUUGGUGGGGUAAAGGCCUACCGAGGCGACGAUCUGUAGCGGGUCUGAGAGGAUGAUCCGACACACUGGGACUGCGACGCGGCCCAGACUCCUACGGGAGGCAGCAGUGGGGAAUAUUGGACAAUGGGGGGAACCCUGAUACAGCCAUGCCGCGUGUGUGAAGAAGGCCUUAUGGUUGUAAAGCACUUUAAGCGAGGAGGAGGCUCUUUUGGUUAAUACCCAAGAUGAGUGGACGUUACUCGCAGAAUAAGCACCGGCUAACUCUGUGCCAGCCGCCGCCGUAAAAC